CACGUCCGACAGGGGAGCGCGCGAGCGCUGAGAGUGCGGAGCCAUCCGCAGACCCUCGAACCUGAUCUGGGUAAUGCCAGCGCAGGGAGCUCGGGAGGCACAAGCU
rnacentral:ncRNA from 2 species